rnacentral:rRNA from 1 species
CCUACGGGAGGCAGCAGUGAGGAAUAUUGGUCAAUGGGCGAAAGCCUGAACCAGCCAAGUCGCGUGAGGGAUGAAGGUUCUAUGGAUCGUAAACCUCUUUUAUAAGGGAAUAAAGUGUGGGACGUGUCCUAUUUUGUAUGUACCUUAUGAAUAAGGAUCGGCUAACUCCGUGCCAGCAGCCGCGGUAAUACGGAGGAUCCGAGCGUUAUCCGGAUUUAUUGGGUUUAAAGGGUGCGUAGGCGGGCUUUUAAGUCAGCGGUGAAAGUCGGUGGCUCAACCAUCGAAUUGCUGUUGAAACUGGGGGGCUUGAGUAUGUUAGAGGCAGGCGGAAUGCGUGGUGUAGCGGUGAAAUGCUUAGAUAUCACGCAGAACCCCGAUUGCGAAGGCAGCCUGCCAAGCCAUGACUGACGCUGAUGCACGAAAGCGUGGGGAUCAAACAGGAUUAGAUACCCCUGUAGUC